UACGUAGGGUGCGAGCGUUAAUCGGAAUUACUGGGCGUAAAGCGCGCGUAGGCGGACCUGCAAGUCGGGGGUGAAAGCCCGAGGCUCAACCUCGGAACUGCCUUCGAUACUGCGGGUCUCGAGUCCGGGGAGAGGUGAGUGGAAUUCCUAGUGUAGAGGUGAAAUGCGUAGAUAUCGGGAGGAACACCAGUGGCGAAGGCGACUACCUGGCCUGUUUCUUGACGCUGAGGCGCGAAAGCUAGGGGGAGCAAACGGGG
rnacentral:rRNA from 1 species